rnacentral:lncRNA from 1 species
CAUCAUCUUGUGCGGGGACCUAAAUUCUGUCCCUGAUUCACCUCUCUACAACUUCAUCAGGGAUGGAGAGCUCCAGUACCAUGGGAUGCCAGCCUGGAAGGCUGCUCAUUGGCUUUGACCGAGGAUGGUGACGUAGAUACGGUAUCUGGACAGGAAGACUUCUCCCAUCAGCUUUACCAGAGGAAGCUGCAGGCCCCACUGUGGCCCAGCUCCCUGGGCAUCACUGAUUGCUGUCAGUAUGUCACCUCCUGUCACCCCAAGAGAUCAGAGAGACGCAAGUAUGGCCGAGACUUCCUGCUACGUUUCCGCUUCUGCAGCAUCGCUUGUCAGCGACCAGUAGGACUGGUCCUUAUGGAAGGAGUGACAGAUACUAAGCCAGAGCGACCUGCGGGUUGGGCUGAGUCUGUCCUUGAGGAAGAUGCAUCGGAGCUUGAGCCUGCCUUCUCCAGGACUGUAGGUACCAUCCAGCACUGCCUCCACCUGACGUCAGUAUAUACCCACUUCCUGCCCCAGCGUGGCCGCCCAGAGGUCACUACAAUGCCAUUGGGUCUUG